GCCCUCGUCGUUCAACGGAUAGGAUGCAAGCUUGCGGAGCUUGAGAUAGAGGUCCGACUCCUCUCGAGGGCA
rnacentral:tRNA from 4 species